UUAGGUGGCGAUACCGAAUAGGUCACACCCGUUCCCAUUCCGAACACGGCAGUUAAGCUCUUCAGCGCCGA
rnacentral:rRNA from 1 species